ensembl:lncRNA
CUGCUCUCACCGCCUCCUCAGAGGGCUUCAGCGAGCACUUUGUGCAUCACAUGUCAUGCAUCACCCCCCUGCUGUCUCUCUUUCUCACUUUUUUUCUUCUUCUUCUUUUUCUUCUCAGCGCGAACGCUGUCGCACUCGUUCUAACACACCCUAAAUGACACAAGUCAGCCUCUUUGCCAUUCUUCGCUCUCCAGCAACACAAACAGUAUCUCUCACUCACAACUUUGGAAACCAGCAAACGCGCUGAGCGGUCUGCAAAGCUUCCUGUCAUCCCAGUGAACGCAGUAGAGUUUAACAAGGGCAGACUUCCUGUUACAUCUCCAGUGUGAAUCCUGAGUAUAAAAUUCACCAAUGGAUCUCCUGAUGACAAGUUCACAGCUGCUUUGAAAGCACCAGGAGUUUGUGACUGUAAAGUUCAGCCUGUAACUGAGACUCCAAACCAUCCAAGAUUUUUUUUCUUUAAUUCAACUGUAACUUCUUCCUAAGGAGGUAAUGCACAUUUUUAAUUACAUUUGAUUGUAGCAAUGUCAGAUUUGUGUCGUUGCAACGAGUUAAAAGUGGACUGACAAUGAGUUCAGAAGCCAUACACAGAGUCUGUGGCAGACUCUCGGUUUCCAUUGUUUAAAAGUGCAAAGAGAGAAACAGCUUUCUGCUUUUGUGUUCCCUCAAGUGCAUACACUGCAUUGUUUUAAGUGACAAGGCACACCCUUGCUAAAAUAAACAGUGAAAACUGCUCUUAAAGCUAAAAAUGUACCUAUUUUUAGAAGUGCUUGGGUUUUUUGGGUGUGUUAAACAGAGUUAAUGAUCUUCUUGGCAAGAGUUUGAUAAAAAAAAAAUUAAUAUUACUCUCAUAUGUAGAAAUAUGAAGAUGAUGCAGACAGUUAGCUUUGCUAAGCAGUGUUAGAAAAAAACACGCAGCUUUUGUGUUUGAAAAAAGACCUAAAGCAGCUGUAAAUCUUGCUUGCUUGCUGUUUCUUUUUUUAAUUUGCACCGCAACGCAACUGUCAGAUUAGUUUGUUGUGUCAGACUGAUUCUUAGCUGGUGUUCUUGGGACCGAAGCAAACUGUAAUGCAGCAGACGACUGAAACAAACUUUCAAAAGUGGAUAUAAGUGCCAAAAAUUGCGUGUUUGUCACUCUAGAAUUUUGAAAAUUUCAAAUUUAUGCAAUUUGAUCGUCAUUUUCAUAUGAGGAAACAGACGUUUCACUGCAGAAUUUCAACUGGUGGAUAAAGUUCACAGGUUUGACUCUUUUUGACUAUAAGAGAGUCAAAUUUAUGAGUUAAAAAAUGUCUUUGGAGCGCCUUUGUAAAAUGAAAUAAUUGCAAUGACACAUGUUCAUCCAACUUUAAACCACCAGCUAACCUGACAAGCAGUUCUGCACACAUUGAGACCCAGAACCUGCUUCCUGUGAGGCGAUUAAUGCGCAGCUAUCCGUUACAUUGGGUCUCAUUUAACGAAUCAAGCUAGACUAUGAAAGGGACAAGGUUAGUUAGUACUUGACCAUGGUUUACUCUUGCUAGGCCGAGCAGUCUUUCCACUGCAAGCUCCACCCACAGACACAUUUUUAAUGCUGACAUACAAAUCCAGAUAAAUAUAUAUCACACCUCACACCCUGUUGGCAAGUUAUUUAUUGAAUGCAUAUGAUUUCAUAUUAAGAUCAUUUAAAGAGGCAAGGCUUGUUUAAAAAAGAUUUUACUUGGCUAUGUCGGCAGUCAUCUUGAGUUUUCAAAUGCCUAAUGGCUUUUAUGAAGAAAAAAAAAUCAUAUAGGAAUUUAUACAUCAGCUUUGCCCCUUGUGUCCACCUGUGACUGAUUUCCUUGUACUGCACCUUUCGUACUUAGCUAGUCUAUCAGAUUUCAGGCUUCAAUUAAAUAAAAUGAGAAUAAUGUAAAAUAUCAUUUUUCUAAUUUGACUUGGUAAGAAUGUAAACAAACACAUUUUCUGAAAUCCUACAUCACCAAAACAUUUAUGAAAAUGAACUGAUUCCCCAUGUGUGUUCAUACUAAUUCUGAACCUCUUCUCUGUCCUUCCUUCAGGAAUGGACAGCAAAACUACGGUGGUGGCCCUUGUUGUCACCCUAUUAAUCCUCCUUCUUGCGCUCUUUGUACUGUACAAGAAGCUGAACAGGGAGGCCGAAGGGGAAUAUACAGUCCGACGCAUCGUCUACAAAGAAGGAGGUCUCAGGGACCAGGCGAGAAGUGCAGCGUUAGCUGUGGGGGCACGUCUUGGGGUCCAGCUGUGGCCUGGAAGUGAUGAAGAAGAGGAAGGGGAGGAAAUGCAGGAAGUCCAAGAUGAAGAAGAACAGGUGGAUAGUGGUGAUAGUCAGGGGAGUGACACAGAGGGAGAUGAAGAGGAGGAGGACAACGACACGGACCGGUCUGGUAAUGCUAAGGAGAAAGAAAGUAAUACUUCAAAUGAUAACUCAAGUAUUGGGAGUUCAGAGGCAGGAGAGCAAACCAAACUAAACGAUGAGUCUGAGCCAAAGGGAGAGACGAGUGAAGAAAAGGAGGAGAAAGUGGGAGAAGAGCAGAGUAAAGCUGAGGCAAGUGGAGGGCCGGGAUUGCUGAUAGAUCUAAAGCAGUUCUCUGGAAGCGCGAUCUGGUCUGAAGAAGGUGGUGAGGGUAAAGGUGACGUGACUGCAUUGUGAGAAUCAGAAAUAAUGAAUAAGACUGAGGAAUCUGCCAAAAUCAGGAUUUCACAAACACCAGCUUCAUCCUCUAAAUGUCUCCCCACUGCAAAUUCCUUCUAUUAGUCUAAAAAAAAUAAAAUAAAAUAAAAGAUACAUGCACCCACCCAUUAAACCCCAAAAGCCUUAAACUCUCAUGACCUCACAUGACCUCGUUUUCCUCUGGUCCCAGUUCAAAAGUCUUUGAUGAAUAAAGCAGUUAUAUAAACAUACAGGGGUGCUCUAGAUUGUAACUGUAAAGUGUAAAAAAACAAAAACAAAACAAUACUUGCCUAUACUUUUUUGUUUUAAAUGUUUAUUUUAAUCUACAUAAGAAAUUGAAAACUGGAAACUUUUUUUUAGUGUUUUCUGUUCUGUUUUUUGUUGUUCUUUAUGCCAUUUGUAGAAAUAAAAAAAGGAGUAGUAAUUAAAUAUAGUGAUAACAAAAUAAUGUUUUAUUUGUUUUAAUGAAAAACAAGUGAAUGUAACCCGUCAAACUUUCAGUCAACAUACAUUUUAUAUGCUGUGUAAAUGGUCGAAAAUUUAAUAAACCACAUACUGAAAAUACGAAUGAAUUGUAUACUUUAAAAAUAUAUAAAACAUGUAGUAAUGCUAUCGGCGGAAGCAUGUGUACAUAGCGUGAUCAUAGCAUGACGAAGCUAAAAUUCUUCCGUGUUUUAUGUUUGUAGGGUUUUAGAGGAAAAAACAUGCUAGCGAUAAGCCACAAGUUUCCUGUUGUAUGCAUUAACCGGAACAAAUACAUAUAAAUAACAAUAUAACUUUCAAUAUUAACCGGAACAAAUGCAUAUAAAUAACAAUAUAACUUUCGUAGUCGUAGUUACACCAAAAUCAGCCACAGUGGCGUCACAGCCAAGAGUCACAGAUAAAACCUCUUCUUGUUGGUUAUUCAGCCAAUGGGGAUGUAGCUCAGUGGUAGAGCGCAUGCUUCGCAUGUAUGAGGUCCCGGGUUCAAUCCCCGGCAUCUCCAAUGACUUUUUUUUCAACUUUUAUUUCCCUAUAAGUUGUAAAUGUGAUGUGAAGUGCAAUAUUGUCACAGAAGUCACAGAAGAAGAAAUAAAAAAUUUUAAGCAAUUUAAAGCAGUACGGCAUAACUAUAUCCCAAACACCGUCACCUCAAUGUGUGCACGAGGUGAGGUACGUUUGCGAUUGGCCCAAAGCAGCCCGUGCUCGAAUGUGAUUGGACGGUGGAUGCCUUGGAGGCGUGGGGGUGUUCAUACACGCGAGUGUCAAACAUUUAUUUUCGCCGGUCCAGUACCUGAUAGUUAAGUGAGAGCUGCUCGAUUAAGGCAUUUUGGUUGAGCCAAUAAGUAAAGCUAACUCUAAACUUAGUGUGCCGAAAAUUUAUUAGAGCGAUUAUGUAACACGGACACGGGAUUUUACCUCAAAACAAACUACUCUACAAAGCAGUGUUUUGUUUUGUUUUUUACAGGAGGAGACGAUUUAACGGGGUAAAUAUUAAAAUCCAUUUAAAAAAAAAAAAAAAGAAUCCUCCGUUUUUGGUCUGAUUAUAUUGUUAAAAAAAAUAAUCUUACAAUUUACUAUGAAAGUCGGUUCAUCACAGUAACCU